rnacentral:rRNA from 1 species
AACGAACGCUGGCGGCAUGCCUAACACAUGCAAGUCGAACGAGACCUUCGGGUCUAGUGGCGCACGGGUGCGUAACGCGUGGGAACCUGCCCUUAGGUUCGGAAUAACUCCCCGAAAGGGGUGCUAAUACCGGAUAAUGUCUUCGGACCAAAGAUUUAUCGCCUUUGGAUGGGCCCGCGUUGGAUUAGCUAGUUGGUAGGGUAAAAGCCUACCAAGGCGACGAUCCAUAGCUGGUCUGAGAGGAUGAUCAGCCACACUGGGACUGAGACACGGCCCAGACUCCUACGGGAGGCAGCAGUGGGGAAUAUUGGACAGUGGGCGAAAGCCUGAUCCAGCAAUGCCGCGUGAGUGAUGAAGGCCUUAGGGUUGUAAAGCUCUUUUACCCGGGAUGAUAAUGACAGUACCGGAAGAAUAAGCUCCGGCUAACUCCGUG